GAUCAGCUACAACUCGACGUGGACCGUUCAACACAUGCAGUCACAAAAGAGGAAAGAAAGGUGACAAGGGAAAGAGCUGCCACUGAGAAUAAGAAGAAGAAGAAGAAGAAGGAGAAAGAUAUAUAUAUAUAUAUAUAUAUAUGCCAGGGGGUCUGGGAACCAAACACAGUAUGAAGCUGCCUGGACCGGAUGAUGACGCUGCUAUACAGACUGGCUGCACCUUGCAGAAAAACUCCCUUUGUAGAUGAGUGGCCCAGUCAGGAUUACUUACUGCAGGGGUCUUAACCCGCCAACCAGCAGUACUACAUCUCAGAGGCUAAAAACAGACACGGAGACACACUUACCAAGGCCUCAUUACACUGCUCAAAAAAAUAAAGGGAACACUUAAACAACACACUGUAACUCCAAGUCAAUCACACUUCUGUGAAAUCAAACUGUCCACUUAGGAAGCAACACUGAUUGACAAUACAUUUCACAUGCUGUUGUGCAAAUGGAAUAGACAACAGGUGGAAAUUAUAGGCAAUUAGCAAGACCCCCAAUAAAGGAGGGGUUCUGCAGGUGAUAACCACAGACCACUUCUCAGUUCCUAUGCUUCCUGGCUGAUGUUUUGGUCACUUUUGAAUGCUGGCGGUGCUUUCACUCUAGUGGUAGCAUGAGACGGAGUCUACAACCCACAUAAGUGGCUCAGGUAGUGCAGCUCAUCCAGGAUGGAACAUCAAUGCAAGCUGUGGCAAGAAGGUUUGCUGUGUCUGUCAGCGUAGUGUCCAGAGCAUGGAGGCACUACCAGGAGACGUGGAGGAGGCCGUAGGAGGGCAACAACCCAGCAGCAGGACUGCUACCUCCGCCUUUGUGCAAGGAGGAGCGCUGCCAGAGCCCUGCAAAAUGACCUCCAGCAGGCCGCAAAUGUGCAUGUGUCUGCUCAAACGGUCAGAAACAGACUCCAUGAGGGUGGUAUGAGGGCCCGACGUCCACGGGUGGGGGUUGUACUUACAGCCCAACACCGUGCAGGACGUUUGGCAUUUGCCAGAGAACACCAAGAUUGGCAAAUUCGCCACUGGCCCUGUGCUCUUCACAGAUGAAAGCAGGUUCACACUGAGCACGUGACAGAGUCUGGAGACGCCGUGGAAAACGUUCUGCUGCCUGCAACAUCCUCCAGCAUGACCGUUUUGGCGGUGGGUCAGUAGCCUAGUGGGUAGAGUAGCCUAGUGGUUAGAGUGUUGGACUAGUAACCGAAAGGUUGCAAGUUCGAAUCCCCAAGCUGUCGUUCUGCCCCUGAACAGGCAGUUAACCCACUGUUCCUAGGCCGUCAUUGAAAAUAAGAAUUUGUUCUUAACUGACUUAAAAUAAAGGUAAAAAAAAUUAAAAAAUGGUGGGUGGCAUUUCUUUGGGGGGCCGCACAAGCUACCUCUGGCGAACACAUGGAGGGCUGACUGCCAUUAGGUACCGAGAUGAGAUCCUCAGACCCCUUGUGAGACCAUAUGCUGGUGCGGUUGGCCCUGGGUGCCUCCUAAUGCAAGACCUCAUGUGGCUGGAGUGUGUCAGCAGUUCCUGCAAGAGGAAGGCAUUGAUGCUACGGACUGGCCCGGACGUUCCCCAGACCUGAAUCCAAUUGAGCACAUCUGGGACAUCAUGUCUCGCUCCAUCCACCAACACCACAGACUGUCCAGGAGUUGGCGGAUGCUUUAGUCCAGGUCUGGGAGAUCCCUCAGGAGCAUGCUCAGGCGUUGUAGGGAGGUCAUACAGGCACGUGGAGGCCACACACACUACUGAGCCUCAUUUUGACUUGUUUUAAGGACAUUGGAUCAGCCUGUAGUGUGGUUUUCCACUUUAAUUUUGAGUGUCACUCCAAAUCCAGACCUCCAUGGGUUGAUACAUUUGAUUUCCAUUGAGUGAUUUUGUUGUCAGCACAUUCAACUAUGUAAAGAAAAAAGUAUUUAAUAAGAAUAUUUCAGUGUUCCCUUUGUUUUUUUUGAGCAGUGUAGAUUACUAGUGAUCCUCUGCUGAAUGUGUUUAAACAAGUCACA